UUAAUUAUCCUCGCUCUCUCUCUCUCUCUCUCUCUCUCUCUCUAGAAUGUAUAUGUAUUCUAUCUGUCUGCCCAGCCAUCCUUUGUGUUCAUCGCCAAAUAACUAACCCACUUCCGAUCGCCUCGCAGGCAUUCCGGCGAUCGAUGAUCGCCGUCAUCGGUCAAAUCUCACCGACGGUACCGGAUUCAAAUUACCAACGGUACAAUUUCUCCCCUCCGUUUGUACACUAGAUCAAUCUGUAUGCAAAUUCAUAUUCAAUGAGAAAUUUGCUAAACAUUACACUAAUUUGGAGUUUUUCUUAUGAAUGUGGAUUUGUAAUCGCUUACAAUCACAUCUCAAUACGAUGAUUUGAUUAUUCUUCGACGAAAAUACAAAGAAGCUUAGGUUAGGUUAGGGUUUUAUUGAAUCG
rnacentral:lncRNA from 1 species